CUGGAACCUGUCAUGGGUGGUGCUGGUGGGAAACAGUCUCGUCUUCUUCAAAGACCCCAAAAGCCAGAAUCCUGACAGCUGGAAACCGGGUAACAGUCGUCCAGAGAGCAGCGUGGAUCUGAGAGGAGCUCAGCUUCAGUGGGCCAACGAUCUGUCCAGCAGAAAAAACGUCUUUAAGCUGAGGACGGUUACGGGAAAUGAGUUUUUGCUGCAGUCAGAGACAGAAUCGCUCAUCAGAGAAUGGUACAGAACCAUCCAGAACGUCAUCGACAGGCUGGUGAGGCUGAAACACACACACACACACACACACA